UCAUUGAGAAGCCGAACGGUACCACCAAAAUAUAAAGUGAAGAGACCCACUUAUCCAGAACAAGUAAAAAUCUUACUAGAGGCAACUGGAUAUAGGAAACAAAGUGAACUACCAGUUUUCUGUUGAACAAUCACUACUCUGGUUUUAUUGUGACGUGUACCUAAAUUUAUUCUUAGAGAAAACUUGACAUGCAGACUGCAUGUUCUUAUGUAUUGUUUCAGUAACAAUGAUUGCAUAGUAAUUCAGUUAUAACUAUGUAACAGAAGAUGGCAGGAACAAUGGUACAAAUUCAAGUAUGUACAUGCCAAAGUUGAUAGGUUUAACUCUAGGCAUUGCAUUACUAUGUCAUGUUGUACUAUUCUUUAAAGAAUUUGUAGGGGGUACUAGAAAAUAUGACUCGAUGAGGGAUGCAUUGAUUUAAAAAAACGGCCUGAAAGUA